UACAGAGGGUGCGAGCGUUGUCCGGAAUCACUGGGCGUAAAGGGCGCGUAGGCGGUCUGGUAAGCGUGUGGUGAAAGCUCGGGGCUCAACCCCGAGUCGGCCGUGCGAACUGCUGGACUGGAGCAUGUCAGAGGCAGGCGGAAUUCUGGGUGUAGCGGUGGAAUGCGUAGAGAUCCGGAAGAACACCGGUGGCGAAGGCGGCCUGCUGGGACAUGGCUGACGCUGAGGCGCGACAGCGUGGGGAGCAAACAGG
rnacentral:rRNA from 1 species